AAAAUCCCCAUGUUGUCUCUGAUGCAAUACCAUAUGUAUAUAUAUAUAUAUAUAUAUAUAUGUAUAUAUAUAUAUAUAUAAAUAGUAUUGCAUCAGAGACAACAUGGGCAUAUA